GAUGAACGCUGGCGGCGUGCUUAACACAUGCAAGUCGAACGAAGCACCUUGAUUUGAUUCUUCGGAUGAAGAUCUUGGUGACUGAGUGGCGGACGGGUGAGUAACGCGUGGGUAACCUGCCUCAUACAGGGGGAUAACAGUUAGAAAUGACUGCUAAUACCGCAUAAGACCACAGCACCGCAUGGUGCAGGGGUAAAAACUCCGGUGGUAUGAGAUGGACCCGCGUCUGAUUAGGUAGUUGGUGGGGUAACGGCCUACCAAGCCGACGAUCAGUAGCCGACCUGAGAGGGUAACCGGCCACAUUGGGACUGAGACACGGCCCAAACUCCUACGGGAGGCAGCAGUGGGGAAUAUUGCACAAUGGGGGAAACCCUGAUGCAGCGACGCCGCGUGAGCGAUGAAGUAUUUCGGUAUGUAAAGCUCUAUCAGCAGGGAAGAAAAUGACGGUAC
rnacentral:rRNA from 1 species